rnacentral:tRNA from 1 species
GGAAUUGUAGCUCAGUGAUAGAGCACUUGCCUAGCAUGUAUGAGGCACUGGGUUGGAUUCUCAGCACCU